rnacentral:antisense_RNA from 1 species
CUGAGGAGAGCGAGUACUCGGGGCUGCCGUCUGCGCUG